rnacentral:lncRNA from 1 species
CCCUCAGACUCUUGGUCACUUGCCAGGACAACCUGCAGGUGGGGAAAGCAUGGGUAACAGGAUAACAGUUUAAAAAAAAAAAAAAGAGCUUUUUUAUUUUAUUAGGAAAAGGUUCUUACUGCUAAUAAAAUUUUUUAUAGGUCUUUGAGCUUCCCCACUGACAGUCCUGCUUAAGUGCUAAUUCUUUAAAUUGAAUACACCUGAUACACAGCUUUUACAGGUGGCUAAUGAGUCUGGCCACCUGAGAGAUGCAGAUAAUUGCCUCAGACUGCAAAAAUUUGGAGGGUGAUGGGCAUUCCAGGUAGGAGGAAUGAGUAGAAGUUGUGGGACAGAGAAGCCAGAGGGGCUUGGAACAUCAUUUAGCUCAGAAAAUACUAAAUGAUUUAAUUGAGUUGAGGGGCCAGAACCUGGACUUGUGCCUGCUUCACUUAAUGGGACAAAUGGUUUCUUUGGGCUGGUAGAGUUGGAGCUUGCAGUAGGGGCCAGAGCCAUUGGGUAUGCCGGAAAAGACAACUUGGCUGCCUUAUUUACCACCUGUGGACACUUGUUAUGGAGAUGAUGACUGCCUGGGCAAUUUUUUUCUUGGGAACUCCUCACAUUCCUAUUCAGAAUUUGAGAAAUGGAAGGACUUCAGUGAGCCACAGACACCAGUAAGAAAACUCUCCUGUGGGACAUGAGAUAACUUCUGAUUUCUAAAACAGAAGAGAAAUUAUAUCGGAGAAGAAUAUUGUAAACUGAAUGGAAGCUGAAAGCUGGGGCCUACUGAGUGAAAGGAAAUCAAUCUCAAUUCUGUAUUUUCCUUCAAGGUUCAUGAAAUGAGCGUUUUAACUCCCAUGGACGUUUUAGCUCCUGCUCACCUAAAAAUGUUGGAGAGUCUCCACUUGCCCCUUGCUGUUGAAGCUUUACACACAUACACCUACACGUGUUUGUUCAGACGCCGUCUUCUCUUCCAGCAGCCUGUGUAGAGAAUUUAUACCCCACUAUUAAAUUAUUCACAGUUCUAAAGGAACAACCAGCCGUGUCAGAGAUGCCUGAAAUGUGGUUCAGUAGUUGAGCUGGGAAGUACAGCACUGGGCACAUGAGCACCAGUUUUUCGGUCAGCGCUGCCUUCUCAUCCUUCCCUGUUUGCUCCAGUGUCAUCCUCAUUGUUCACCGCUCAGCCUUUCUGAAGGCUGCCAACAAAACAGCUGAAUCAAGAACCUGAGGCUGAAGUGAGAGGAUGAAUUCCAGCUCCGCCGGCCGAGCCGGCCCCCGGUGCUUGGUGAGCCGACUCUUUGAUUCUGCUAUAUCAUAGCUUGCUUUUCUUUUGACUAGGCCAUUGUCAUAUUGCUGUUGACCUCUGCCCCCACAUAUACAAACCUGAACUCUGGAUUAGGCUUCCCAGGGAAUAAACUAUGGGCAAAGUUGAACUACUAGCUAGAA